GAAAACCGUAUGAGGGAAAACUUCACGUACGGUUUGAUGAGGAGAUGGGGGAAGAGAUUAAAUCAAAUCCACCGUUUUACUCUAU
rnacentral:ncRNA from 1 species